rnacentral:SRP_RNA from 1 species
CCGUGCUAAGCGGGGCGCUAGCGGUGCCCUGUAACCUGCAAACCGCUUGAGCAGGGCUGACCACUCCGGGAGGAGUUCUGUCUCUGUGUUGGAUAAGGACCUCAGGGACGGCGUUGAGGGGUGGGUCCCAUGGAGUCGGGCGGCUGCGAACCUGGUCAGGGGCGGAAGCCAGCAGCCAUAAGCAGUACCCCGUCUGCCGUGGGAUCGCCUGCCCUGAGUCGCCCUGGCGUUACUGCCGCGCAGCAGACUUCGAGCGGAGCGCACGG